CAGGUUAUGAUGUUUGGUCUCCUAAGGAAAAGUAACAAGGAGAAGCACCCACGACUUUCUGUCUCUCAAACCUCCUUUAAAUAUGCUUUGAAUACUUUUGAUGAGUUUGUUGACGUGCAGGAAAAACCAAACAGGUGGAGCAAAGAGCAUGUCAAUACCUCCAAAGAUGUGGCUGAUCCCAAAAGGCAACCUUUUCAGUUUGAUGUCCAAGGAUUUUGUGAUAACUUUGUGAAGGGAAUUGACAAAGCCCUCAAGGAUAUCAGCAAGAGCCCAAAGAAGAGCACAUCCACCCGUUCCCCAGUAGCUGAGCCAUCCUUGUUCAUCAGUAAGAAAGCCCAAGGUGAAUCUGAAAACCAUUUUGAAGAACUUAAAGAUUUUUCAGAUUCUCUACCCAUUUUUAAUGAAUCUGAUGAAGAGCUAAUUGAAAGCUUAAAGUUUUGUGAAAAAGAUUGUGAUCUUCCUUCUCUUGAAACUGAGUUUAAUCUUGAUAAUGAACAAGAUAUUGUUGAACUAACUGUUUUGCAACCGUGGCUGUGGGCUGUCUGUUCAGUACACACAAGACGUCCGUGGGUGUCCGCCAGCACACACAGGACGUCCGUGGCUGUCUGUGGCUGUCUGAGGCUGUCCGCCAGCACACACAAGACGUCCAUGGCUGUCCGUGUGUGUCCGUGUGUGUCUGUGAGUGUCCGCCAGCACACCCAGGAGGUCUGUGGCUGUCCGUCAGCACACACAGGACGUCUGUGGCUCUCCAUCAGUAUACAUAUCAGCAUGCUGGUCCUUGGACUCAGCACGCUGGCCCUUCCCGUGGACUGUUUGGGUGAUUUUGGCCCACGUGGGCUAUCUGUUCAGUAUACACAGGACGUCCGUGGGUGUCCGCCAACACACACAGGACGUCCGUUCCUGUCUGUGGCUUUCGGUCAGCACACACAGAAUGUCCGUGGGUGUCCGUGUGUGUCCGUCAGCACACACAGGACGUCCGUGGCUGUCCAUCAGUAUACAUAUCAGCACGCUGGCCCUUCCUGUGGACUGUUCGGGUGAUUUUGCCCACGUGGGCUAUCUUUUCAGUACACACAGGACGUCCGUGGGUGUCCGUCAGUACACACAGGACGUCCGUGUGUGUCCGAAAGCACACACAGGACGUCCGUGGCUGUCCAUGUGAGUCCAUGUGUGUAAUAACCCUCACGAGCAUAUAUAAUUUUGGUCGAGAAAAUUCUUUAAGAUCAGUUUGAGGAUUGAUCGAUCAGAAUUUAAAUAAAAAUCGACCCGGUGAAUUAUUCGUGAUGGGACUGUCUCGAGGCCAAUGUACCUACUCUUAAUAGUUCUGUCCAAGUGUUAAUUAUUAUGGUCGAGUUUUAUCUAAGCUGGACGAGAACCGAUGGACGGGAAACAUUUUAUCGUAAACUGGUCUUGAAUACUUUCAGCUGCUUGCGAGUCAUGUGCAUGUCAUGUGCUGCCUGGCUGCUUGCUUCCUUCCUGACCUGAACAUGUGACUUGCACCUUCCAGCUUGCUUGCUACAUUAAAGUCAUGUGAGUUGCACACCUGCUUGAAGUUUCUUCAUGGAAGGAAAAGUUCAGCUGCUUGUGCUGCUUGGUGUGCUGAAGCAUGUCACCAGCUGUCUAACCUCAUCUUUGUCUUUUGUGGGAGCAAACCCUCAUCUGAAGCAACUCCUUAUGAUAUAAAAUACCCUCUUCUCUCCUCUGGACGUUCAUAACCUGCAAGAAAAACCAGAGAAAAUUCAGAGAGAAAGAGAGAAAGAAGAGAGAAAAAUCUGUGAGAAAAGAUUCAUGAAAAAUUCAGAAAAAUAUUCAGAGAAGAGGAGUGAGCAUGGACAACUCUUUCUCACCAUCCUGUGACUUUAAUCAGUGAGUUUUGGAGUGUUUAAGAGCUGAAUAUUUGGUGUCCUGAAGUAGAGAAUCACCUAUGUUCUUCAGCCUUUGAUUUUAAUCGGUAAAGAUGUAAGUUGUUGUGUGGAUCAGUUUUAUGUGAGCAUUUGUGUUGGAUUGACUGCGGUUCAGCUUUGUUCUGAUUGAGUCCGACCUUUUCUUGAUGUGGUACUGAUUAGGUUUGGCGUGGCUUUAUCUUAAAGUGGAGUAUCAGUUGAGUUCAGACAGUGUUUGAUUUGAACCGGUAAACUGUUUUGCCUUUUGAUCCAGAUCAGUUUAGAUUGUAACCAGCUGGCUGAGUUGUUGUUCUUCCUCUCUGGAUUAAUUUCUUAAUCCCUUGUGUGGAUUUAUAUUAGUUCAGUUCAUGGUCCCUUAGCAUCUAGACAACUUAGCUGAAACGAUUUAUGUUUGAACCGAACUAAAGCUGCCUUGAACUUGCCUUAGUAUCUGUCCUGAAUCUUGAACUGUGGGUUUGAACCGGACUGAUUAACCUUUGUUCCAACCGUUCUGUUAUUGGUACAGAUGGUCAAGGAUAGUGUUCGGAUCAGUCAGAUCCUUGUGGUGAUUUUAAAUCGAGAAUAUUCCAGAAGCCGAGUGUGAUUAGCUUGAGCUCGAGUAUAGUCUUUCUUAGCCAAUCUCAUGGAAUCAAAGGUGAGUCUAGAUAGAUGAUUGAUGAGUAGUGAAUGAAUAUUUCUUGAUUGAACGUACUGAUUGUAGAUGAUUGAUAGGCUUUGUCUCUUGAUCAAUAUUGAAUUGGUAAGGUGUUUACUUAGUGUAGACACUUAUUAAAUAUUUAUGAAUGAUCAUAGAGGUUUAUUCCAAACCUUAGUACUUGUUCUCAAGUACUAAUACUUAUGUAUAGUAUUAAAUAUAAUUAAGUAUGGAAGUAUUAAUCAUGUGAAGUCCUAUUAUAAACCUGUCUUCCAAAAUAUUCCCGUAUGAAUGAUGAUUACCGUGAAUUGGUCCUGCGAUAUGGAACAAGGUCACGAAGACACGAUGAUGGGGUCGCACCCUGGAGGCCGUGUAACUGCAUGCAGCGUUAGAUGUUCAAUUUUUGAAUAUCUGAUGGCGAUGAUGGUGAUGCUAACUCGCUAGACUCGUUUAGCCUUUGUGGUUUCUCGGGUCUGGUAUAUAUAUAUAUAUAUAUAUGAUUAUAUGAAUGAUAUGAGAGACGGGAAUAGGAAGUGAGGUAUAUGAUUAGAUUCACAAUGAUGGAAGGAUAGUCCUUAUAUAUAAAUAUCUAGAUAUGGAAUAUAUUUCCACUGCAUACAAAUGAAGUUGAUUGCUUGAGAAUAUUAUUAAUAUGUGUUUGGGUGUGGGAUUAGACUCACUGAGUAAACUAGUUACUCAUGACUCAUUUGUGAUGCAGGUAACAAUUAGAUGGGAGACCUUACUCUAGGACGGGAAGAACAGCAUUAGCCAGCGGUAGUUUUAUUAUCCUUGCAAAGUCAUUUUGAUAUAUCUUAUGUUAAGAUUUGUUGACCGAAAACCUCGAGGUUAAUUUAUAACAAAUUUUGUAAGAUACUUUUGAUGAUAUAUAAAGAAUGUUUUUUUUAAAGUACGGGUUCCAUAUGAUAUUAGUCCUUGUCCGGACGAACUAACUAUCGGGUAUUGCUUUGUCGGGUUGAAAAGCCUAGAGUUAUAUCCAAUAGGAGCGUUGGUGUUCUUUGGUUGUUGGUCUUAGGCGAUCGGAAGUAUUCUGAGAACCUCAGAUCGACAAUUGAGGAACAUUGACCGUGUCAUUUUCGGUCAUCUAUGAUCGGGGGUGUCACAAAGGUGGUAUCAGAGCAUGGUUAUACGAUGCUUGAAUGGGACUUGUUUCAAAUGUUUUUCGAGUCAAAAUGAGUCGCAAGGAUAACUAGGAUAUGCUGGCUGGUUCUUUCAUUUUAGAAUAGAUAGUCAUGGGUAGUUACCUAACAGUGAUCUUUCAUAGCAGAAGCACCGAGACAAGCUUGAACGGAUUGACCUUACUUACCGAUGUUACUAUCAUAAGGCUCGAGUGUGCUACCCUCAUGGUCGGGUUCACUAUCGCCAUGUUAAGAAUUUUAUACAUCGAAUACAUCUCUGGACUCAUGUGUUAUCGAUGUCAAGGUGGGCGUUGUUUGUGGUUUGAUUCAGAGCGAUGCGACUGCACAUGAUCACCUAGAUGCACUUAUUCUUCCGGCUUCUCAAGUCUCCAGCUUAUGCUGAGACGUACAAGAAACAGAGUCGUACAAGCCUGAAUUGUUCAAAAUUUGUUUGGAGCUUACCGUUGGAGGAAGAGAUGGUUCAACUAUAGUACAAGCCGAUGGACACACAUGCAUCUUCUGUUGGCAACAAGACAUCUUAAAGCUUAUGAUGGAAAGAAGUAGUGGGACCACAAGAUACAGAAGAAGGACUAAACCGUUCGAGGUAUACUAUGGCUUGAGGCAGAUUUGGGAUGCAACACCCUGAGAAAAAUAUUUUCUUCAGAGAGGUGAGAUCGAUUUGGACAGAUUUCAAGAGUUCACGAAGUAGUAUUUUAUACACAAGAUAUGGGACCGAUUGAAGAUUCAGUUCACGGAGUUGGUACAGUGGGAUGUUUCCGCCAGAAGGUUCAGGUCGAGUUAAUCAUAUACAACAAUUUCAGCAUCGAGAUAUGUGGUCGAGUGAAUUUCAUUCAUCGAUUAUGGUUUGAAGAAUAAUCCAAAGAUCAUAUGGAAAAUCUUUGGGAACUUAGCCAAGAAUUUUGGAGUAGAUAAAAGACCAUGGAGUUUCAAAGCCUCGAGGAGAUGUUAGAGUAUGACGUGAAUGUUAAAGAAGCUAUUAUUGCUGAAGAAGUUAACCAAGUCAUGCAGACCGUUUAUUUUCCAACCGCUGCAGAUCAAAGGUCAGUUUCAAGAAGUGAGUUAAGUAAGUCGUUGGGGAUGAUUUUGGGUGUACAUUUCAUCAGAUCAAGAUCGAGGACCUUGAGCCGUUAUGGUUGUUACUAGCAAAGACAGAAUGGUCGUGAUUGUCAAAGUUUGGGAAAUCCUGGAACGUUUGCAUCAUUCGCGCUUUGGUGGUUCUUGUGAAGAGUUAGGAAUUUAGGUUACCCUUCCUCAUGAAGUUACCCGAUCUAGUUACCUAUACCUAAGAUAACACUUGUUGAACUUGUCCGCUUUUCCUUACCGUUAGUCCACAUCCAAGUGUUAGGCUAUUUGGGUAGAGCCUACACUUUAUAGUUGUCUGGACCGUCAAAACCCCUGAAAGGUCCAAUCACAGGUUUGCUUCUUAUCCCAUUGUGUGUUGUGUGCAUUUUUAAAAUCUUAUAAUUGAUUGAAAUAAAAUAUAUAUAUAUAUAUAUAUAUAUAUGUGAAUUGUGAUCAAGAUGUCGUAAGAGACCUUGCCUAUGGAUGGAGUUUUCCGCCCAUAUCGUGUUUUAUUCGGGAAUAACACAUAGUUGUAGUUCCCGAGCAUUGUCAUAGUAUUAGAAAGGAUUCACUUUGGUGAAUUCAAGUAUCCGUUCUUAUUUGUGGAAGUAUUGGCUGCCAUUUGAAGUAAUGGUAUGCCUUCCCCAUUCCUUAGUACUUCUGUUAGAGCGGUAUGUUUCUAUCUAGAGUGAGAUUUGCUAUCUAGUUACCGAGCUCAAUUAGGAUGUCGAGGAAAGAAGUAUUAGGAAGAAGACCCGUCACUGUUGGCCUACAAUGAUACUCUACCAAGUGUUUGAGCAUGCUCAUAACAGUUUGGCAAGUUGAAAACCUUUUGGGAAAAAGGUGAAGAAGUGUACUCUAGUAACUUGAUUGUUUAAAUUGUAAAAGAUGAAAAGGUGCAGAGUAGAAGACAGUCUGAUAAUCAAGAAAGAUGAAGAUGUGGUUAAGGCAUUGAAAGGAUGGUUGACAUCUAAAAGUAACAAGUUCACUAUUCUUGUUGAACCUGGAUUCGCUGCAAUAGCCUAGGGAUCUCACCAAGUGGUUCUUGCCGAGUUCUAGUAGUAGUUAGAAGAUUAUAAAAGGGUCUCAGAUAGAUCAGAAGUGUAAAGAAUACAGUAAGUGAAAUCAUUCUUGGAAUGGGUGAGUGUGCGUAUUUGAGAGUAGCACCUCUGGUCCGAAUCAUGUUGGUGUGAUUGAUCGUGCAUGUUCUUGUUUGAUUGUUGCACGGUUAAUCAAGUUAACAUUGACCAAACUGGAGAUGUUACUUUCACGUAUGGCACAUCACCUAACGUUCCAAAUUUCAUGUUGCUGUUAUGGGAGAAAGUCAGAUAGAAAAGGUUGAGAAGUAAUAGUCUACAUAUACAAGAUUGUUAGAAAAAGUAUGCAGACCGCAGUUGACAAGAAUUGUGCAGACUAAAGAAUUUGGUUAUCUUGAAAGUGGCUGCUCAGAAAAGAAAGGAUCGGUUGGGGGAAUCAAGGGAUCGACCAUGAGUUGUUUUGAUAUGGGAAGAUUAAGAUAAGGUAAGAGCUAAUAUCCAUAACUCCUUUCAGAGACUGUUCAGUAAAGAGUGUACAGCUACGUUUUCAGAAUUCGGGGACGAAUUCUAUUGAGGAGGGAAGAAUGUAAUAACCCUCACGAGCAUAUAUAAUUUUGGUCGAGAAAAUUCUUUAAGAUCAGUUUGAGGAUUGAUCGAUCAGAAUUUAAAUAAAAAUCGACCCGGUGAAUUAUUCGUGAUGGGACUGUCUCGAGGCCAAUGUACCUACUCUUAAUAGUUCUGUCCAAGUGUUAAUUAUUAUGGUCGAGUUUUAUCUAAGCUGGACGAGAACCGAUGGACGGGAAACAUUUUAUCGUAAACUGGUCUUGAAUACUUUCAGCUGCUUGCGAGUCAUGUGCAUGUCAUGUGCUGCCUGGCUGCUUGCUUCCUUCCUGACCUGAACAUGUGACUUGCACCUUCCAGCUUGCUUGCUACAUUAAAGUCAUGUGAGUUGCACACCUGCUUGAAGUUUCUUCAUGGGAAGGAAAAGUUCAACUGCUUGUGCUGCUUGGUGUGCUGAAGCAUGUCACCAGCUGUCUAACCUCAUCUUUGUCUUUUGUGGGAGCAAACCCUCAUCUGAAGCAACUCCUUAUGAUAUAAAAUACCCUCUUCUCUCCUCUGGACGUUCAUAACCUGCAAGAAAAACCAGAGAAAAAUUCAGAGAGAAAGAGAGAAAGAAGAGAGAAAAAUCUGUGAGAAAAGAUUCAUGAAAAAUUCAGAAAAAUAUUCAGAGAAGAGGAGUGAGCAUGGACAACUCUUUCUCACCAUCCUGUGACUUUAAUCAGUGAGUUUUGGAGUGUUUAAGAGCUGAAUAUUUGGUGUCCUGAAGUAGAGAAUCACCUAUGUUCUUCAGCCUUUGAUUUUAAUCGGUAAAGAUGUAAGUUGUUGUGUGGAUCAGUUUUAUGUGAGCAUUUGUGUUGGAUUGACUGCGGUUCAGCUUUGUUCUGAUUGAGUCCGACCUUUUCUUGAUGUGGUACUGAUUAGGUUUGGCGUGGCUUUAUCUUAAAGUGGAGUAUCAGUUGAGUUCAGACAGUGUUUGAUUUGAACCGGUAAACUGUUUUGCCUUUUGAUCCAGAUCAGUUUAGAUUGUAACCAGCUGGCUGAGUUGUUGUUCUUCCUCUCUGGAUUAAUUUCUUAAUCCCUUGUGUGGAUUUAUAUUAGUUCAGUUCAUGGUCCCUUAGCAUCUAGACAACUUAGCUGAAACGAUUUAUGUUUGAACCGAACUAAAGCUGCCUUGAACUUGCCUUAGUAUCUGUCCUGAAUCUUGAACUGUGGGUUUGAACCGGACUGAUUAACCUUUGUUCCAACCGUUCUGUUAUUGGUACAGAUGGUCAAGGAUAGUGUUCGGAUCAGUCAGAUCCUUGUGGUGAUUUUAAAUCGAGAAUAUUCCAGAAGCCGAGUGUGAUUAGCUUGAGCUCGAGUAUAGUCUUUCUUAGCCAAUCUCAUGGAAUCAAAGGUGAGUCUAGAUAGAUGAUUGAUGAGUAGUGAAUGAAUAUUUCUUGAUUGAACGUACUGAUUGUAGAUGAUUGAUAGGCUUUGUCUCUUGAUCAAUAUUGAAUUGGUAAGGUGUUUACUUAGUGUAGACACUUAUUAAAUAUUUAUGAAUGAUCAUAGAGGUUUAUUCCAAACCUUAGUACUUGUUCUCAAGUACUAAUACUUAUGUAUAGUAUUAAAUAUAAUUAAGUAUGGAAGUAUUAAUCAUGUGAAGUCCUAUUAUAAACCUGUCUUCCAAAAUAUUCCCGUAUGAAUGAUGAUUACCGUGAAUUGGUCCUGCGAUAUGGAACAAGGUCACGAAGACACGAUGAUGGGGUCGCACCCUGGAGGCCGUGUAACUGCAUGCAGCGUUAGAUGUUCAAUUUCUGAAUAUCUGAUGGCGAUGAUGGUGAUGCUAACUCGCUAGACUCGUUUAGCCUUUGUGGUUUCUCGGGUCUGGUAUAUAUAUAUAUAUAUAUAUGAUUAUAUGAAUGAUAUGAGAGACGGGAAUAGGAAGUGAGGUAUAUGAUUAGAUUCACAAUGAUGGAAGGAUAGUCCUUAUAUAUAAAUAUCUAGAUAUGGAAUAUAUUUCCACUGCAUACAAAUGAAGUUGAUUGCUUGAGAAUAUUAUUAAUAUGUGUUUGGGUGUGGGAUUAGACUCACUGAGUAAACUAGUUACUCAUGACUCAUUUGUGAUGCAGGUAACAAUUAGGUGGGAGACCUUACUCUAGGACGGGAAAGAACAGCAUUAGCCAGCGGUAGUUUUAUUAUCCUUGCAAAGUCAUUUUGAUAUAUCUUAUGUAUAAGAUUUGUUGACCGAAAACCUCGAGGUUAAUUUAUAACAAAUUUUGUAAGAUACUUUUGAUUGAUAUAUAAAGAAUGUUUUUUUUAAAGUACGGGUUCCAUAUGAUAUUAGUCCUUGUCCGGACGAACUAACUAUCGGGUAUUGCUUUGUCGGGUUGAAAAGCCUAGAGUUAUAUCCAAUAGGAGCGUUGGUGUUCUUUGGUUGUUGGUCUUAGGCGAUCGGAAGUAUUCUGAGAACCUCAGAUCGACAAUUGAGGAACAUUGACCGUGUCAUUUUCGGUCAUCUAUGAUCGGGGGUGUCACAAUGUGUGUCCGUUUGUGUCCGUCAGCACACAUUAGACGUUUGUGGCUGUCCAUCAGUACACAUAUCAGCACGUUGGUCCUUGGACUCAGCACGCUGACCCUUCCCGUGGACUGUUUGGGUGAUUUUGGCCCACGUGGGCUGUUUGUUCAGUACACACAGGACGUCUGUGGGUGUCAGUCAGUACACACAUGACGUCCAUGUGUGUCCGUGUGUGUCUGUCUGUGUCCGUCAGCACACACAGGACGUAUGUGGCUGUCCAUAAGUACACAUAUCAGCACGCUGGUCCUUUGACUCAGCACGCUGGCCCUUCCUGAUGUGCCCCAGCCCAUGGAACAGUUUGAGGAAUCAGAAGAUCAGAACGUUCCAAACGUCCCAAUUGAGAUUCACUCUUCCGACCAGACCAUACAGACCGAUCGGGCCGUGUACCGGAUCGACCCGCGAACGUUUGGAUUGGAGGUUCGGCCAGAUCCACGACCAGAUGAUCGAACUGACCGAACUGAAGCUCGUCUUUCCCAGCCAAUUCAACAUUCCAAGACUGAUAGUCGAGCCAGAUUCAACUUGGGACAAGAAGAAUCCGAAGAUGUUCACAGAUUUUCUCUUAUGGCCUUUUUGGUGCAUCCUGCGUGUCUCGAAGGCUGUCCUAAAGUUCUUGCUUCAGUGUCCGACCCUAUGAUGGAUUUUUAUCUUUCAUAUUUCACUAAGGCAUGAAUACUUGAGCUGUUGAAGGACUUGUUUCACAACAGUGCACAACUUGGUUCAGCAGAUCGUCCGAUAGUUCAGUCCGUUCGUGUUAAUCAGCCGACAGGCCGUGUGGAUCGUCCUGAUCAUGUCCUGAUCCUUACACCAAGUACCAGCACGACCAGAAUGAACCUGGACAGAAGAGGAGAAGUCACUUUGACCAGUCUUCAUGAAGUCAUUAUUUUCUAGCAAUGUUGUCUUUUCCUAGGUUUGUAUUUCCCAUAACUGUUUAUGGCUUUCUUUGACUACAAAUCCUAUAUAUAUGGCUCAUAAGCCACGAAAUAAAACAGAUUGGUUUCCCUUUUUUAUGAGUUUCUCUCAUUGUUCUUUGUUUAGAACACUUCUUAGUUUCUUGGUGAGGUUAUCUCCAAGUUUCGAUCCUUGUUUUGUUGGACCGGUGCAUCACAUCCGGCAACGAUCGAUGUCUGGUAGUAUCUUUGGGCUAUUCCGCAACCCUUAGUGUCAUCGUUCAUACCAUCAUUUCUCAAUCCUCUCGGAUCUGAGUUCAUAUCAACCAUACCGAAAGAGUGAUCCUUAUUUUGGUUCUAUCAAGUGGUAUCAGAGCCACUCUCUCGGUAACUCUAUUUCAUUCCAUCUUCUCAUCUCUCCAUAUUCUUCAAACACUUCUUCUUCUACCUUUCUUGAAUCCGGGCCCCUCAUUACCAUCCAUAUAUUAAAAAAAAUAAUGAGAAAAAGAAAGAUCUAUCAAAAAAAAAAAAAGAGAUUCAAAAGAUUGAUUUGUGGAUUUGGUGGAAGAGAAAUCUUGCUGGCUGAGGAGAAAUCCAGCCUUUGAGGUGGUUAAGGCAGUUUCCAAAAUCAAAAUCUCUUAUCUAUCUAUCUUGAAAAAACCCUUUGUUUGCUUUGGAUCUACCCAUUGGGAUUCUUGAAUUUGUUCUCUUAGAACCUUGAGAAGAAACUUGAGUGAUUACCAUAAAAUCUGAGAGAAACACUUGAGUGGGUGAGAUUAAACACUUGAGAGAGUGUGAGAAUUUUUAUCUACCUUUUUUGUUGAGAAUUUUCAGGUUAUGAUGUUUGGUCUCCUAAGGAAAAGUAACAAGGAGAAGCACCCACGACUUUCUGUCUCCCAAACCUCCUUUAAAUAUGCUUUGAAUACUUUUGAUGAGUUUGUUGAUGUGCAGGAAAAACCAAACAGGUGGAGCAAAGAGCAUGUCAAUACCUCCAAAGAUGUGGCUGAUCCCAAAAGGCAACCUUUUCAGUUUGAUGUCCAAGGAUUUUGUGAUAACUUUGUGAAGGGAGUUGACAAAGCCCUCAAGGAUAUCAGCAAGAGCCCAAAGAAGAGCACAUCCACCCGUGCCCCAGUAGCUGAGCCAUCCUUGUUCAUCAGUAAGAAAGCCCAAGGUGAAUCUGAAAACCAUUUUGAAGAACUUAAAGAUUUUUCAGAUUCUCUACCCAUUUUUGAUGAAUCUGAUGAAGAGCUAAUUGAAAGCUUGAAGUUUUGUGAAAAAGAUUGUGAUCUUCCUUCUCUUGAAACUGAGUUUAAUCUUCAUAAUGAACAAGCUAUUGUUGAACUAACUGUUUUGCAACCGUGGCUGUGGGCUGUCUGUUCAGUACACACAAGACGUCCGUGGGUGUCCGCCAGCACACACAGGACGUCCGUGGCUGUCUGAGCCUGUCCGCCAGCACACACAAGACGUCCAUGGCUGUCCGUGUGUGUCCGUGUGUGUCUGUGAGUGUCCGCCAGCACACACAGGACGUCUGUGGCUGUUCGUCAGCACACAGAUGACGUUCGUGUGUGUCCCACAGCACACACAGGACGUCUGUGGCUCUCCAUCAGUAUACAUAUCAGCACGCUGGUCCUUGGACUCAGCACGCUGGCCCUUCCCGUGGACUGUUUGGGUGAUUUUGGCCCACGUGGGCUAUCUGUUCAGUAUACACAGGACGUGUGGAUCGUCCUGAUCAUGUCCUGAUCGUUACACCAAGUACCAGCACGACCAGAAUGAACCUGGACAGAAGAGGAGAAAUCACUUUGACCAGUCUUCAUGAAUUUCACCAACUUUGACUCCCUUUAUUAUUUUCUAGUCAAUGUUGUCUUUUCCUAGGUUUGUAUUUCCCAUAACUGUUUAUGGCUUUCUUUGACUACAAAUCCUAUAUAUAUGGCUCAUAAGCCACGAAAUAAAACAGAUUGGUUUCCCUUUUUUAUGCGUUUCUCUCAUUGUUCUUUGUUUAGAACACUUCUUAGUUUCUUGGUGAGGUUAUCUCCAAGUUUCGAUCCUUCUUUUGUUGGACCGGUGCAUCACAUCCGUCAACGAUCGAAGUCUGGUAGUAUCUUUGGGCUAUUCCGCAACCCUUAGUGUCACCGUUCAUACCAUCAGUUCUCAAUCCUCUCGGAUCUGAGUUCAUAUCAACCAUACCGAAAGAGUGAUCCUUAUUUUGGUUCUAUCAAGUGGUAUCAGAGCCACUCUCUCGGUAACUCUAUUUCAUUCCAUCUUCUCAUCUCUCCAUAUUCUUCAAACAGUUCUUCUUCUACCUUUCUUGAAUCCGGGCCCCUCAUUACCAUCCAUAUCUUAAAAAAAAAUAAUGAGAAAAAGAAAGAUCUAUCAAAAAAAAGAGAUUCAAAAGAUUGAUUUGUGGAUUUGGUGGAAGAGAAAUCUUGCUGGCUGAGGAGAAAUCCAGCCUUUGAGGUGGUUAAGGCAGUUUCCAAAAUCAAAAUCUCUUAUCUAUCUAUCUUGAGAAAAACCCUUUGUUUGCUUUGGAUCUACCCAUUGGGAUUCUUGAUUUGUUCUAUUAGAACCUUGAGAAGAAACUUGAGUGAUUACCAUAAAAUCUGAGAGAAACACUUGAGUGGGUGAGAUUAAACACUUGAGAGAGUGUGAGAAUUUUUAUCUACCUUUUUUGUUGAGAAUUUUCAGGUUAUGAUGUUUGGUCUCCUAAGGAAAAGUAACAAGGAGAAGCACCCACGACUUUCUGUCUCCCAAACCUCCUUUAAAUAUGCUUUGAAUACUUUUGAUGAGUUUGUUGAUGUGCAGGAAAAACCAAACAGGUGGAGCAAAGAGCAUGUCAAUACCUCCAAAGAUGUGGCUGAUCCCAAAAGGCAACCUUUUCAGUUUGAUGUCCAAGGAUUUUGUGAUAACUUUGUGAAGGGAGUUGACAAAGCCCUCAAGGAUAUCAGCAAGAGCCCAAAGAAGAGCACAUCCACCCGUGCCCCAGUAGCUGAGCCAUCCUUG
rnacentral:lncRNA from 1 species